GAAGAAAGCGUGCCCAAGACUGUGAAGUUCUAACCCUUCAUCCAAGAAGAAGCCUUAGUUAGUAUACACAAUGAUGUUUUCCCAAGUACAGCAGAGCAAUUCUUUGACCUAUUGUUGAAUGAUGACUCAAAUUUUAUAAAUGAGUAUCGUUCAGUCCGAAAGGACACUAACCUUACUAUUGGUCCGUGGCAUGAUGCUGAUGAAUAUGAUGGCCAAGUCAGAGAGAUAAAAUUGAGGGCCCUGUGUAACAGUCCUAUGUACCCUCUAGAUACAGCAAUGACAGAGUGGCAGCAUGCUGUUUUGUCACCAGAUAAGAAACAGCUGGUGUUUGAGACUGUACAACAGGCGCAUGAUAUACCAUUUGGGUCUUACUUUGAGG